rnacentral:rRNA from 1 species
AGAGUUUGAUCAUGGCUCAGAUUGAACGCUGGCGGCAGGCCUAACACAUGCAAGUCGAGCGGUAGAGAGAAGCUUGCUUCUCUUGAGAGCGGCGGACGGGUGAGUAAUGCCUAGGAAUCUGCCUGGUAGUGGGGGAUAACGUUCGGAAACGGACGCUAAUACCGCAUACGUCCUACGGGAGAAAGCAGGGGACCUUCGGGCCUUGCGCUAUCAGAUGAGCCUAGGUCGGAUUAGCUAGUUGGUGAGGUAAUGGCUCACCAAGGCGACGAUCCGUAACUGGUCUGAGAGGAUGAUCAGUCACACUGGAACUGAGACACGGUCCAGACUCCUACGGGAGGCAGCAGUGGGGAAUAUUGGACAAUGGGCGAAAGCCUGAUCCAGCCAUGCCGCGUGUGUGAAGAAGGU